rnacentral:rRNA from 1 species
UACGUAGGGGGCUAGCGUUGUCCGGAUUUAUUGGGCGUAAAGAGCUCGUAGGCGGCUUGUCACGUCGGGUGUGAAAGCCCGGGGCUUAACCCCGGGUCUGCAUUCGAUACGGGCUAGCUAGAGUGUGGUAGGGGAGAUCGGAAUUCCUGGUGUAGCGGUGAAAUGCGCAGAUAUCAGGAGGAACACCGGUGGCGAAGGCGGAUCUCUGGGCCAUUACUGACGCUGAGGAGCGAAAGCGUGGGGAGCGAACAGG